UACGGAGGGUGCAAGCGUUAAUCGGAAUUACUGGGCGUAAAGCGCACGCAGGUGGCUGAGUCAGUCGGAUGUGAAAGCCCUGGGCUUAACCUGGGAAUUGCAUUCGAUACUACUCAGCUAGAGUAUGGGAGAGGAAAGUGGAAUUCCCGGUGUAGCGGUGAAACGCGUAGAUAUCGGGAGGAACACCAGUGGCGAAGGCGGCUUUCUGGCCCAAUACUGACACUCAUGUGCGAAAGCAUGGGGAGCAAACAGG
rnacentral:rRNA from 1 species